UCAGGAUCCUAAGACAGUUGCCUGAAGACCCAGACACCCAUCCCUUCUUAUUCUGGAGGGACCACAAUAUAUACCACAAACAUGGGCCAUCUCUGUCAUCUCAGAUAGCUCCGUCAUGGAGCACUGGUUUGGGCAUUAUCUACAUCUGUGUUUCCUCCAUUAGAUCCUUCUCUUGAAGGACAGGAGUCUCCACAUCCUUAUCUUUACACCUCCAGCAUUUAGUCUUGAAUGGAUGGAGUUGCCUACUGGCAAGAAGCAAGCUUACCUCUUAAUUGGGAACCUGAGUUGGAAAUUCAGAGUGGGACAGGGUUAUUCAAAAAGGAGAUGCAGAGGCCAGGGACCAAGUGCAAGGUCAUCAUUCUAGAAGUAAAACCAAGAAGUACCAGGAGGGAGGUGAGGAAAAAGGAGGAGAGGAAGACAGCCAAGGAAGCUGAUCACUGAGGAGAUUUCCACUGUGAGGAAUAGAGCUUCACGCUGUUGGCAACUCUGGAAAGCAAUAACAAGGAGGAGGGGACUGCGACAUUUGCAUACUGGCUCCUUUCAGACAACUGUGAAGGCUGCUCCUAAGUGCCUUGGACAUACCUUGGGACUUCCAGCUUGUCAUCAGGAAGUGAACAGAGAAGGUUCUCCGGCAGGAAGAAAUGGGUGCUGGUAGUUGAAGGAUACUAGGGUGCACUGGCAAAGAGGGGAGGGAUAAAUGGGCAUUUAUAGGACAUGUUACACUCUCUUCUGCAUCUGAGAGGUCUGGCUACAAAGCCUCUACUCAAACUUAUAACUUUCCCAGAGAUGAAGAACCUACUUCCUCACAACCUACUGCAAGUCGGACAGUCAGCCUCUCAGAAACGCAAUGCUUGGGUCAAGCCAAAUUCCAUUCACUGCCCAGUCCUUCCAGUGCAUUCCACUUGAACAUGGACAGCUCCGGUGUCUGUCAGCAUCGAUAAAGAGCGUCUGUCAUGUGUUGGGCUUAGUAAAUAUAUUCUGAACGAA